AACAUCUCUUAUUAAGGGCAUUCUACAGCCAUCCCUUUAAGGAAUGCUUGUAAGCUCUCACUGCCAGCAUCCAGAAAAGGACAAACUAAUGCUGUUUCCUUUGAGAAAAGCACUUAUAAAGCAUGAUUGAUUCCAUUCUCCAACAGACAAAGUGGAUAUGGCAUGCCCAGACCAUCUGUCUUUUCAGCUGCAAGUUCAGCAGGAAUAAAGACUUCUUCCCAGUGGUUUCUUCAAAAGCCCUCAGAUUAGCUGUUUGCCUAGAUUGUCACAUGCCACCCCAGAACCAAUCCCUAUUGCCAGGGAAAUGUAGUGUAUUGAUUGGUUUAGCCCUAGGUCACAUGACCCACCCCUGGAAAAAAGGCUCAAUCCUCCCUCAGACUACUUUGGUUGAAGGCUUGGAAGAGAUGGAGCCAGGGAAAGUAGUCACUGGAGAGGCAAACAUCAAUGUUCACUAAAUAUGCCUUUAAAUAUGAACCAGAUAUUGAAUAUUAGAAACUAGCACAUUCUGAAAGGAGAAAAUAGAAGCAAAAGAAAAAAAGCGGGAAAUACUAGGUAGUAUUUAGAAUUGAUAAGCUAUCCAAUUAAGGUCAAGUGCAAGAAUAUUUUAAGUGUUACUUAAAUAUAUAGAGAUAGCCAGGCAUGGUAGCUUGUGCCCAUAAUCCCAGCUGCUCUGGAAGCCAAGGUGGGAGAAUUGUCUUAAGCCCAGGAAUUCAAGGUUGCAGUGAGCUAUGAUUUCACCCCUGCACUCCAGCCUGGGCAACAGAAGGGAUCUCAUCUCUAAGAAAAAGUAAAAUAAAUAAAUAUAUAGAAUUAAUUCCCUGUU